AUCAAUCUGAGGUAUUUGUGAAGCUCUUAUUUUGAACCUACAUCAUUAAAACGGGAGUUUAAAAUAUAAUUGUGAAUUUGACUUAUAAGUCCUAAUGUAUGACAUUCACCUAGGCAAGGUUUUUGAAACAAUAUUGAGGACACCCACCUAUCGGAUAGAUAGGUGUCAAAAUUAGGGCAACGGUAUUUCGGAUUAUAA
rnacentral:other from 2 species